GGUUCCGUAGUGUAGUGGUUAGUGCUCUGGACUCUCAAUUCAGCGAUCCGAGUUCAAGUCUCGGUGGAACCU